GGUGACAAGCUAGAGGCAGCAACUGCAUAUCUUGCAAGAAAAUUGGUUUUCGAACCAUACCGAUAAUUUUCUUGCAAGUUGUGCAGUUGUUGUCUCAAGCUUGCUGCC
ncrna:Saccharum sp. miR444c stem-loop (ssp-MIR444c)